rnacentral:misc_RNA from 1 species
AACUUUUAGCAAUGGAUCUCUUGGCUCUCGCAUCGAUGAAGAACGCAGCGAAUUGCGAUAUGUAAUGUGAAUUGCAGUAUUCAGUGAAUCAUCGAAUCUUUGAACGCACAUUGCACCCUCUGGUAUUCCGGAGGGUAUGCCUGUUUGAGUGUCAGUAAACUAUCAACACAAACAAUUUGUUUUGUUUGUGGCUGGAUGAUGAAGGUUGCUGGCUUUAUAUUUUGUCAGCUCCUUUUAAAUGUAUUAGCAGAUCUUUGUAGAAUCGGCUUCAGCUUUGGUAAUUAAUUUUUAUCUGCUGCUGCUGCUGAGGAACAAUUGGAUCAGCUUUCAAACUGUCUUCUCAAGAGGACUGUCUCAUUUUCGAGGCAAUAAUUUGAUUUUUGACCUCAAAUCAGGUAGGACUACCCGCUGAACUUAAGCAUAUCAAUAAGCGGAGGCU